rnacentral:rRNA from 1 species
CCCUGCACUUACAAGCUGUGGAAGCACAUUUCUUGUGUGACCGCGUACUUUUUGUAGAACGGGCCAACGAGUUACGUUAAGUAGCAAGGUUAAGCCCUUAAGGUGCGGAGCCGUAGCGAAAGCGAGUUUUAACUGAGCGUUCAGUUACUUGACGUAGACCCGAAACCGGGCGACCUACCCAUGAGCAGGAUGAAGCGAAAG